rnacentral:rRNA from 1 species
AUUGAACGCUGGCGGCAGGCCUAACACAUGCAAGUCGAACGGUAACAGGAAGCAGCUUGCUACUUCGCUGACGAGUGGCGGACGGGUGAGUAAUGUCUGGGAAACUGCCUGAUGGAGGGGGAUAACUACUGGAAACGGUAGCUAAUACCGCAUAACGUCGCAAGACCAAAGAGGGGGACCUUCGGGCCUCUUGCCAUCGGAUGUGCCCAGAUGGGAUUAGCUAGUAGGUGGGGUAACGGCUCACCUAGGCGACGAUCCCUAGCUGGUCUGAGAGGAUGACCAGCCACACUGGAACUGAGACACGGUCCAGACUCCUACGGGAGGCAGCAGUGGGGAAUAUUGCACAAUGGGCGCAAGCCUGAUGCAGCCAUGCCGCGUGUAUGAAGAAGGCCUUCGGGUUGUAAAGUACUUUCAGCGGGGAGGAAGGGAGUAAAGUUAAUACCUUUGCUCAUUGACGUUACCCGCAGAAGAAGCACCGGCUAACUCCGUGCCAGCCGCCGCCGUAACAC